UAUAUUCUAUGCUCGUAUAUCCGCAACAAACCGUUCGUGUCGGCCAAAACGUGCCGCGAUUAUACCCAAUCGACGACAAUCAUUUCAUCUACACCUCCUUCAUCUGCUCACCGUCAACCGGUAUAUCGUUAAAGCUCCAGUGGGUAUAAUUAUAGACAAACUCUUAUCCAACUUCAUUCUGGUCAACAUCGUAUACUUCGAAUUUGGACAACAUCAAAAAUCAGGCAAUCAUCGAGACUCAUUUUCUCGGCCGCCUUAGACUCAAUCAAAUGAUAACCACAUCAAGUCAUGACUUAGCUCCCUUGAGCAGGGGUCUAAAUACUCUAAAUACAUUAGAACCGCCGAAUAUAAGCACAUUUAAUUAUUGGAAACUAUGCGCGCACUACGACCUACGCCAUGCAAUCAACUAUGUACUACCACCCCGCCCCCUUUCCAACUAUGUACAAACUUUAAUUAUUAUUUAAUUUCAUUUUAAAGCUGACAACCUUCAUUGAGCUGUUUCCGUAUAUGGCAGCAAAAAGCCAAUGCAUUUUCAGAACGACACAAUAAGCGUUUGUUUGUCAUCCAAACGACCGCGUAACUGGCGCUGACGCAUCGCGUUCUUCAAAGAAAACCCACACACACUGGCAGCCCAGCCAGCCAAGCCAAGUCUCAAAAGCCAACAAGUUUGCGUAAGCAUCAUCAACAACCGAGUGGCACGAAGCUUGAGUGGCUGCGUUUGGUUCUCCUUUAAGUUGUUUUUUUUUUUUUUUUUUAGAUGCUGUGACAUACAAUAUGCGCGCUAUAGAAUUGCAAUGCGAAUAGAGAUUGGAUUUUAUGUGUGGGCGGUCCGUAGAGCGCUGUGCCAGCCACCGAGUACUUGCACAUACAUAUAUUUACGUAUGUAGGUACUUAUACAUGAUUAGAUAUUUAUGUAAGUAGCUGAAAUGAUAUGCCUUCUAAGCGCCUUCUUCCAUCAACAUUGCGGAAAUGAAAGACUACAGUAUUUUGUUUUUAUUUAAUU